UACGUAGGGUGCAAGCGUUGUCCGGAAUUAUUGGGCGUAAAGAGCUCGUAGGCGGUCUGUCGCGUCGGCUGUGAAAACCCGGGGCUCAACCCCGGGCCUGCAGUCGAUACGGGCAGACUAGAGUGCGGUAGGGGAGACUGGAAUCCUGGUGUAGCGGUGAAAUGCGCAGAUAUCAGGAGGACACCGGUGGCGAAGGCGGGUCUCUGGGCCGUAACUGACGCUGAGGAGCGAAAGCGUGGGGGGAGCGAACAGG
rnacentral:rRNA from 1 species